rnacentral:rRNA from 1 species
UACGUAGGGGGCAAGCGUUGUCCGGAUUUAUUGGGCGUAAAGAGCGUGUAGGCGGCCAGACAGGUCCGUUGUGAAAACUCGAGGCUCAACCUCGAGACGCCGAUGGAAACCGUCUGGCUAGAGUCCGGAAGAGGAGAGUGGAAUUCCCAGUGUAGCGGUGAAAUGCGUAGAUAUUGGGAAGAACACCGGUGGCGAAGGCGGCUCUCUGGGACGGUACUGACGCUGAGACGCGAAAGCGUGGGGAGCGAACAGG